UACGAAGGGGGCUAGCGUUGCUCGGAAUCACUGGGCGUAAAGCGCGCGUAGGCGGCUUGUUAAGUCAGGGGUGAAAUCCUGGAGCUCAACUCCAGAACUGCCUUUGAUACUGGCGAUCUCGAGUCCGGGAGAGGUGAGUGGAACUGCGAGUGUAGAGGUGAAAUUCGUAGAUAUUGGCAAGAACACCAGUGGCGAAGGCGGCUCACUGGCCCGGUACUGACGCUGAGGUGCGAAAGCGUGGGGAGCAAACAGG
rnacentral:rRNA from 1 species